rnacentral:rRNA from 1 species
GUCGUCAGCUCGUGUCGUGAGAUGUUGGGUUAAGUCCGUAACGAGCGCAACCCUUGCCUUAGUUACCAGCACGUUAUGUGGGCACUCUAAGGAGACUGCCGGUGGACAAACCGGAGGAAGGUGGGGAUGACGUCAAGUCAUCAUGGCCCUUACGGCCUGGGCUACACACGUGCUACAAUGGUCGGUACAAAGGGUUGCCAAGCCGCGAGGUGGAGCUAAUCCCAUAAAACCGAUCGUAGUCCGGAUCGCAGUCUGCAACUCGACUGCGUGAAGUCGGAAUCGCUAGUAAUCGUGAAUCAGAAUGUCACGGUGAAUACGUUCCCGGGCCUU